UUGCCUCAGUAACGGCGAGUGAAGCGGCAACAGCUCAAAUUUGAAAUCUGGCUCCUUCGGGGCCCGAGUUGUAAUUUGUAGAGGGUGCUUUGGCGUUGGCCCUGGCCUAAGUUCCUUGGAACAGGACGUCACAGAGGGUGAGAACCCCGUAUGUGGCCGUCGGCCUUCGCCGUGUAAAGCCCCUUCGACGAGUCGAGUUGUUUGGGAAUGCAGCUCUAAAUGGGAGGUAAAUUUCUUCUAAAGCUAAAUAUUGGCCAGAGACCGAUAGCGCACAAGUAGAGUGAUCGAAAGAUGAAAAGCACUUUGGAAAGAGAGUCAAAAAGCACGUGAAAUUGUUGAAAGGGAAGCGCUUGCAGCCAGACUUGCCUGUAGUUGCUCAUCCAAGCUCCUGCUUGGUGCACUCUUCUGUAGGCAGGCCAGCAUCAGUCCGGGCGGUCGGAUAAAGGCUUUGGGAAUGUAGCUCUCUUCGGGGAGUGUUAUAGCCCAUUGUGUCAUGCGACCAGCCUGGACUGAGGUCCGCGCAUCUGCUAGGAUGCUGGCGUAAUGGCUGUAAGCGGCCCGUCUUGAAACACGGACCAAGGAGUCUAACAUCUAUGCGAGUGUUUGGGUGUCAAGCCCGGGCGCGCAAUGAAAGUGAACGGAGGUGGGAACCCCUCGGGGCGCACCAUCGACCGAUCCUGAUGUCUUCGGAUGGAUUUGAGUAAGAGCAUAGCUGUUGGGACCCGAAAGAUGGUGAACUAUGCCUGAAUAGGGUGAAGCCAGAGGAAACUCUGGUGGAGGCUCGCAGCGGUUCUGACGUGCAAAUCGAUCGUCAAAUUUGGGCAUAGGGGCGAAAGACUAAUCGA
rnacentral:rRNA from 1 species